rnacentral:lncRNA from 1 species
UCAUCUUAUUUUUUUACUUACAGGUUAUUAACACGGGGAUCAAAGUCUGGUGUAGAAAUAACAGCGGUGAAGAGUUUGACUGUGCUUUCCGGCUGGCACAGGAGGGAAUAUAUACAUUGUAUCCAUUUAUUAACUCAAGAAUUAUUACUGUAUCAAUGGAAGAUGUUAAGAUACUGUUGACCCAGGAAAAUCCCUUUUUUAGAAAACUCAGCAGUGAGACCUACAGUCAAGCAAAGGACCUGGGUGAGUAGUUGGAAAUGCAUAGAGACAUAACUUGUAUUCCCUUUAUAAGGCCAGCAAAAAUGCAGGUGGUGUGCGUUGGGGCAUAUUUAUCAAUCAUAGUUUUCAGUUUAUUUAUGGCUACAUCAAUUUCCAGAGGGUUCUGUAGAUCCCUGAUUGACAGUUCAGAAUGCUAAGGGUCAAAGGCAUCUUGGGGUUGGUGUACUUCCCCAGGCUCUGGUGGUGCCCUGCUGCUGCCCAGCAGCCUGUGGUGUGUCUGUGUGGCGUGCAGG